UGGGCAAUAAAUGGAUUUUUAAUCGCGUAUUAUUUUUAAAAGAGCAGCUCCUUUCCCCUAGAAAGCUGAAAAUGACUUGAAUGCAAAGAAAUAACGUUAACGAAAGUAUUCCUUGGCACUCCGAGAAGCAAUUCUUGAAUCAGUGGUAGGUGAAGUGAAUAUCUCAGAAACUACUGAGCCAAUAUUAACCAAAUGGUAUAUACCAUUCACCUGAUAUCCUUUUGUUACUCUGGUCUAAGUUCGAAUUCAACUACACAAGUGGAAUACCAUCAUUUUAAAUUCCAACCGAUUAUUUCACUUUACUUCAGAUACAUAUACAUGAAGCACCAGUGAAGAUAUCGGCACAAUAGUUUUUAUAAAUAUAUACAUAAAUAGAAAAUACUAUGUGAACUACCCUGUAUACGUACAUACAUGUUUAUGUCAACAUUGUUAAAUAAGUAGAUUAGGUUUUUAUUGCUAAUUUUAUUUAAAGCUGCAUUUGCUGUUUCUACAUUUCGUUGCUACGCUUUGCGAUAAGCAAAUGCAUACAUGUGUAUGUGUAUCUACAUACAUAUGUAUACCUGUGUAUGUAGAUAUAUUGAACCGCAAUAGAGAUUAUGGAUUCAGCUAAUCCAACGGUCGAAA